rnacentral:rRNA from 1 species
GAUGAACGCUAGCGAUAGGCCUAACACAUGCAAGUCGAGGGGCAUCACAUGAAGUAGCAAUACGGAUGGUGGCGACCGGCGCACGGGUGAGUAACACGUAUGCAACCUGCCUUCAACAAGGGGAUAACCCGUUGAAAGACGGACUAAUACCCUAUAACACAGGGGUCCCGCAUGGGAAUAUUUGUUAAAGGACAACCGGUUGAAGAUGGGCAUGCGUUCCAUUAGCUAGUUGGCGGGGUAACGGCCCACCAAGGCAACGAUGGAUAGGGGAACUGAGAGGUUUAUCCCCCACACUGGUACUGAGACAUAGACCAGACUCCUACGGGAGGCAGCAGUGAGGAAUAUUGGUCAAUGGACGCAAGUCUGAACCAGCCACGUCGCGUGAAGGAAGACGGCCCUACGGGUUGUAAACUUCUUUUAUACGGGAAUAAAGUGCCCCACGCGUGGGGUUUUGCAUGUACCGUAUGAAUAAGGAUCGGCUAACUCCGUGCCAGCAGCCGCGGUAAA